UGUAUGGGACAUGAAUAAGUUCCGUCGCACGCACCUCUGUUGUGAAUAAGUAGAAGAAAAGAAAAAAAACUGCACGCUCUCAUCUCCCUCUCGCUCUCCGCCUCUCUCGUUCUCGUUCUCCGCCUAUCUUCCUCUCUUCAAAGCAUAUAGAUCAUUCUUUGCCACUCUUGCGACAAUCACUGAUGCUGAGACACAAUUGAACCAGGUAAGGAUUUAUGUUUCUUGUUCCUCUCUCAAAUCUCCCCUUUCCCUAACCCUAAUGUUUUUGGUCAGCUCUCAGUUUUUUCUUUUUGCUGCUAGAAAUUCGAAUUCAACCUCAUCCUUUCUCAUUCGUCAAAGAAGUAUGCUGGCUUGGUUUUGUUUAUUUAUUCUUUAAUGGCACUGGUGACUCAAUUAGCAAGAGAAGCAGAAAUUUAGGGAUGGAUUAAUUGGAGAAGGAUGAGUAAGAAAGCAUUGAUGAAUGCAGAGACAAUGGCGGUGCUUUUGUGAAGAAGCACGGAGUGGUCAGAAAAAGGUGAGAUUUGUAGAGGAAAAGGAAAGAACUGUUUGGAAAGGAAUGGUGAAUGAUGAGUCGAAAUCAGAGCAAGACGGAGGAGAAAAUGGAAAGCGGGCCUCUAAGAAAAGUGAGAAUGGCGUGUAGUUUAAAGGUAGAAGAUAAAUUGGGGCAUUCUGAUGACAUCGAUACAGAGUAAGGUUUGUGAAGAAGCAAGAGAGUAGGUUAUUUUCUUACGGCCAUAAAGGAUCAUACAAAGUAGGAAGAAAGAAAAGUAAAUAAGCAGUCCAAGAAAAAAUUGGCUUGGUUGGGUAAAAGCUACUGCUAAGGUCGAGUGAAAUCAGAUGUUGCUGUGAUGAGUUGCAUCAAAAUUCCACUAUAAC